CUUCAAGCUCAUUUGGGACCUGCCUCCGAGAGUGAAGGAGUGGACAAAGAAGUGGAGGAUGAAGAUUACCAACCAGUGGUGCAAAAUGGCACAGAGGAAGUGGUGAUAACAUCCGGCGUCAGCACCCUUAGCUCAGUAGUUUCCCAUGAAAUCCAGAGCCAACAAAACAACCUGCAGCUGGGCAAACUGCGGCAAGAAACUAACAGAUUGCUGGAAGAGCUGGUGCAAAAGGAAAGGGAAUACCAGCUGGUUUUAAAACAGUGUUUGGAACAGAGGAAUCAUGACUUACAUCUUCUACACAGCAAAUCAAGUCCAAUUGAUAUUCCACAGACAACUGUACCUUAUGCGUCACAUGACCAAGCCACAGACCAAGAGCUUGUUAAUUGGCUGAGGGAACUUGGAGCUGCUGACGAUGUAGUAAACCAGGUAAUAAAUUCUGGAUUUAUUGCCAGUCAACUCUCAUAUUCCUGGUUACCGUGCAUAAUAAAUGUAGUCAACUGGUUAAGGCUAGUCACAUAGAAACAUUACAAUUUUCUUUUUUCUUUCAUUGUACAAGACGGUUGUUGAUUACUGUUUCUAACACAAACCAAAAGAAAUAAGAUGUGUGUUAAAUGAUAUACUGUACAUGCAAAAUCUUCUCAAUUGUAUUAUAAUUGUUAAUUGACAUUUGCAUUGAUGUUUGUACGACACGUAAAUAAAAAUGUAUUGAAAUAGAAACAUUACAAACGUGGUUUUUAUAUGGCUUUAAAGGGCAUGUAA